GAUUGAUAAUAAACAAGUAAAAAUAGAUUUCUAAUCUGUAGGUCGCAGGUUCGAGUCCUACUGGGGUCACCA
rnacentral:tRNA from 1 species